rnacentral:rRNA from 1 species
AACUGGGGUUAAUUCCCGAUGGGUGAGGAGGCCUGGAAUGGUUCUUCACUGAAAGGGCGCUAGAGGCAUGCUCUCUAACGUUGCCCAAGGAUGGGGCCGCGGCCGAUCAGGUUGUUGGUGAGGUAACGGCUUACCAAGCCUAUAACCGGUACGGGCCGUGAGAGCGGAAGCCCGGAGAUGGGCACUGAGAUAAGGGCCCAGGCCCUACGGGGCGCAGCAGUUGCGAAAACUCCGCAAUGCACGAAAGUGUGACGGGGCUACCCCGAGUGCCGUCCGCUGAGGAUGGCUUUUCUCCGCUGUAAGGAGGCGGAGGAAUAAGGAGAGGGCAAGACUGGUGUCAGCCGCCGCGGUAAUACCAGCUCUCCGAGUGGUAGGGGUGAUUAUUGGGCUUAAAGCGUCCGUAGCCGGCCUGGCAAGUCUUCCGUUAAAUCCAGCAACCUAAUUGUUGGGCUGCGGGGGAUACUGUUAGGCUUGGGGGCGGGAGAGGCCGACGGUAUUCUCGGGGUAGGGGUGAAAUCUUAUAAUCCCGAGAGGACCACCAGUGGCGAAGGCUGUCGGCUAGCACGCGCCUGACGGUGAGGGACGAAAGCUGGGGGAGCGAACCGGAUUAGAUACCCGGGUAGUCCCUGCUGUAAACGAUGCGAGCUAGGUGUUGGGGCGGCUACGAGCCGCUUCAGUGCCGCAGCGAAGGCGUUAAGCUCGCCGCCUGGGGAGUACGGCCGCAAGGCUGAAACUUAAAGGAAUUGGCGGGGGAGCACCACAAGGCGUGAAGCUUGCGGUUCAAUUGGAGUCAACGCCGGGAGCCUUACCGGGGGCGACAGCAGGAUGAAGGCCAGGUUGAUGGUCUUGCUGGACGAGCUGAGAGGAGGCGCAUGGCCGUCGUCAGUUCGUGCCGUGAGGUGUCCUCUUAAGUGAGGUAACGAUCGAGACCCGCGCCCCUUGUUGCUAACAGACUCCAUCGGGGUCUGUGCACACUAGGGGGACCGCCGUCGAUAAGACGGAGGAAGGAGCGGGCCACGGCAGGUCAGUAUGCCCCGAAUCCCCCGGGCCACACGCGAGCUGCAAUGGCAGGGACAAUGGGUGUCGACUCCGAAAGGAGGAGGUAAUCUCUAAACCCUGCCUCAGUUGGGAUCGAGGGCUGAAACCCGUCCUCGUGAAUAUGGAAUGCCUAGUAAUCGCGCGUCAUCAUCGCGCGGUGAAUACGUCCCCGCUCCUUGCACACACCGCCCGUCGUUCCAUCCGAGUGGGGUUUGGGUGAGGCGUAGUCCUUGGUGGCUGCGUCGAACUCAGGUUCCGCAAGGAGGG